rnacentral:rRNA from 1 species
UACGUAGGGGGCAAGCGUUGUCCGGAAUCAUUGGGCGUAAAGAGCGUGUAGGCGGCCAGGUAGGUCUGCUGUGAAAACUCGAGGCUCAACCUCGAGACGUCGGCGGAAACCAUCUGGCUAGAGUCCGGAAGAGGAAAGUGGAAUUCCUGGUGUAGCGGUGAAAUGCGCAGAUAUCAGGAAGAACACCCGUGGCGAAGGCGGCUUUCUGGGACGGUACUGACGCUGAGACGCGAAAGCGUGGGGAGCGAACAGG